rnacentral:rRNA from 1 species
CAUGGAGGGUGAGAAUCCCGUCCGGCCAACUUUUUGACGCUUUACGAUACACUUUCAAAGAGUCGAGUUGUUUGGGAUUGCAGCUCAAAAUGGGAGGUAAAUUUCUCCUAAGGCUAAAUACCGGCGAGAGACCGAUAGCGAACAAGUACCGUGAGGGAAAGAUGAAAAGAAUUUUGAAAAGAAAGUCAAACAGUACGUGAAAUUGUUGAAAGGGAAACGAUUGAAGCCAGUCGUACCGACGGGAAUUCAACUUCUCGAGUGCUAAUCGUGGGUGACGUUGAGCCUCACGGCCUUCGUUGCUUGUGUUGUUGGUGCUUUUGGGGUGUACUUUUCCGUAUUGGUAGGUCAGCAUCGAUUUCGAUCGUCAUAAAAUGAUCGGGGGAAUGUAGCUUCGGUCUCGUAUCGGAGUGUUAUAGACCUUGGUAGAUGUGACGAUUGGGAUCGAGGAUUGCAACGAAUACCCUCUGGGCUAUCCGUCUGACCUCUGAAAGUCGCUCGGGUGUCGAAAGCGUGCUUAUGGCUAUUCGAGUUGGCGGUCAAUAGGUUAGAACGUGAUUAUAUUCGUUAAGGAUGUUGACGUAAUGG